CUGCAGCCCGAGUAGUGAUCGUUAUUAUUGGGCCUAAAACGUCCGUAGCCUGUUUGGUAAAUGCUUGGGUAAAUCGUGUGGCUUAACCAUACGAAUACCGGGUAGACUGCCAGACUUGAGACCGGGAGAGGUUGGAGGUACUCCUGGGGUAGAGGUGAAACUCUGUAAUCCUGGGGGGACCACCAGUGGCGAAGGCGUCCAACCAGAACGGGUCUGACGGUGAGGGACGAAGCCCUGGGGCGCAAACCGGAUUAGAUACCCGCGUAGUCC
rnacentral:rRNA from 1 species